CCCUCGGUAGUUUAGUUGGUUAUAGCGCCAGAUUGUAACGGAACGUCUUCUUUAAAAAGAAGGCAUAACACAAUAUCUGGAUGUCGGCGGUUCGACUCCGCCCCGAGGGA
rnacentral:tRNA from 1 species